CACCUAUGAUGCAAUUAUUAAGUCAGACGAGUCUAUAUUGGCGAUCUAUUCGAGUUCUUCGAAAAAAUUGCCGCAAGCGGGGUGAAAUUGAGGCAUUUGUCUGAGGUGA
rnacentral:sRNA from 13 species